GGUGGCUCAGUGGUCGAGCGCUUGGCUUGCAUGCAGGAGGCCCUGGGUUCGAUUCCUCAGCACCA
rnacentral:tRNA from 1 species